UUUACAUUCACCGCCAUCUUGGAAAUUUUACUUGUGCCGCAUUCUUAAAACUUUUCGUCGGCAGUUAGUAAGUUCAAGCAAGCAAGAUGCCUUCCGUUUGGCCCAAGAAUGUGAUGGCGUUGCACAAGCCAUACGUCAGACAGAUCGGCCCCUUCCUCUUCCCAUGUAUGCUGAUCACAGGAUACCUAAUGGCAAAAGCUACAAUGAUAGGAUAUAAAGAUCUAAAGAAGAAGGAGGCACUUGGUCAAUCCGGGCACCACUAGUACCACUAGAAUAGUUUACAAUUUAAGAGAAUGUCAUCUAGGAUUGCAGUACGGAAUUCAUGUUCAUCUCCUGACUGACCAUCAGCACAGAGUCCUUCAACAGACAUCUAAGAUCAAUCACCAGGUUCAUCUCAAGUGUUCCUCAAGACGUAAAACAUACCAAGCAAUCGGAACUGGAUGCAAGAUCACAUCAAUAUCUGGAGAGAACAAAAAUUAACAAUACUUAUGAAAUUAUUAAUGUUUUCACAUUAUGUGUAAAGGGCAGAUCAAGAUCCCUAUUUGGCAGUGUAGCUCAUACUUGCUAAGCACAGAAAAGUUUGUUUAGCAGACUCGGGUUAACCAAUUGUGUAGUGUGGCCUGUCUUCUGUUGACUGGUACUUUGGUAACUUUGCUAAGCAAUUUUUUGCGUUAAGCAGAAAUCUCUGAUUGUCAACUCUAUGACAAUGGAUCUGAUGUGGCAUUUAUGUUCAAGUUGACAAACUGUACAGGAUAUUGACAUGAAUUCCUGCUCUUAUUUUCGUCAAAUGUUUGAUUUGUAUGAGUUUUUAAUUUAAAACUGACUUGGUGUGGGUGCAUGAUUUGAGUUUAAUCCAUAAAAGAAAAUGAAAUAUCAACCGAAAAAUGGCUCCUGAAGUCAGAUGCAACUUUGACAAAGGCAUUUGUAUUAAUUGAUAAACAUGAUACAUACACAGCAACACACAGCUAUGUGUUGCUGUCACUCUGUGAACAAUCCUUUGUUCUGUUCAUGUAAGGUCAUUCAUACUGUUCAAUAUGGUAAAAGACCCACUGUGUGGGGGUGUGUAAGUCCACAUAGUGUUUCAAGACUCUUCAUUAUGUGGACCUGUUUUGUUUUCAGGUCCACACUUUUAAACAUGAUUGCACAAAACCAGAAGCAUACGAUUACAGUCUACAGUCUACAUUGUACAAUGUAUCCAUGCUUGGACUCUCAACAGGAACCUUUUGUUUUGAAGUUUUGCAUGAGUUGGAUGAUAAAUUUACUGUAUCCAUAUCAUAGAUUCUAUUAAAAUUGUUGAGUUGAGUGAUUA